rnacentral:tRNA from 1 species
AGAGAUAUAGCUCAGUGGUAAAGUGUGUGCCUAGCAUGCACAAGGUCCCGGGUUCAAUCCCUAGUACCUCCC